CAAUAGCGUAUAUUAAAGUUGUUGCAGUUAGAACGCUCGUAGUCGGAUUUCGGGGCGGGCCGACCGGUCUGCCGAUGGGUAUGCACUGGUCGGCGCGUCCUUCCUUCCGGAGACCGUCCCUACUCUUAACUGAGCGGGGGCGGGAGACGGGACUUUUACUUUGAAAAAAUCAGAGUGUUUCAAGCAGGCAGCUCGCUCUUGCAUGGAUUAGCAUGGGAUAAUGAAAUAGGACUUUGGUGCUAUUUUGUUGGUUUCGAACACCGAAGUAAUGAUGAGAAGGGACAGACAGGGGCACUCGUAUUCCGCCGAGAGAGGUGAAAUUCUCAGACCAGCGGAAGACGAACCACUGCGAAAGCAUUUGCCAGGGAUGUUUUCACUGA
rnacentral:rRNA from 1 species